rnacentral:rRNA from 1 species
GACAGAGGUGCCAAGCGUUAGGCGGAAUCACUGGGCUUAAAGCGUGUGUAGGCGGAUUCCUAAGUACCUUGUGAAAUCCCACGGCUCAACCGUGGAAGUGCACUCGAAACUGGAUGGCUAGAGUCCUGGAGAGGAAGGUGGAAUGCUUGGUGUAGAGGUGAAAUUCGUAGAUAUCAAGCGGAACACCGGGUGGCGAAGGCGGCCUUCUGGACAGUGAC